GAGCGCACCCCUGAUAAGGGUGAGGCCGCUGGUUCAAGUCCAGCAUAGCCCAUCUUUUGCACGAGAAACCAAAAAAAAAGAAUUGGAAUGAACGAAGUUGAAAUACGAAUAGUAUCUCGAACGCUAGUGAAUUGAAUGAAAUUAAUUUUUUUCAAAGGAGAUACUACUAGUAUAUCGAACAAGAUAUGGUGGGGGUAUAGCUCAGUUGGUAGAGCGUUGCUUUUGCACGGCAAAUGUCAGCGGUUCGAAUCCGCUUACCUCCACCGAGUUCCCAGCUAAAGCUCAGGAAUGAACGCUAGUGAAUUGAGAUACGAAUAGUCUCGACUUUUCUUACGCACUUUUCUUGAAAAGUUACAUGAAUAAGGCUCACGGCGGAGACCUAGGCACUCAGAGACGAUGAAGGGCGCGAAUACCGGCGAGACGCUUGGGGGAGCUGGAGAUAAGCGAAGAUCCGAAGAUUCCCUAAUAGGGCAACCUCUUGAACUUCUUCACGAAUAAAGAAUAGUGAGGAAAGAGAGCACCUGGUGAAUUGAAACAUCUUAGUAGCCAGAGGAAGAGAAAGCAAACGCGAUUCUCGAAGUAGCGGCGAGCGAAACGGGACAAAGCCUAAACCGGCCCAGUGGGCCCGGAGUCGUGGGAAGACAAGAAACCAUACCAGAGACAUAGGAGAUACCAAUAGUCUCUCCUAUGUCUCUGGUCUCUGGAAUGUGUGAAUUGGGGGGAUGAAGCAGCUGAAUCCUGCACCAUAGAUGGUGAAAGUCCAGUAGUUCCACCACACAUCACAUAUGUCAUAUCCCGAGUAGCAUGGGACACGUGGAAUCCCGUGUGAAUCAGCGAGGACCACCUCGUAAGGCUAAAUAUGCCUGAGUGACCGAUAGCGAAAUAGUACUGUGAAGGAACGGUGAAAGAGAGAUCCUUCGGGAAAGUGAAAGAGAACACGAAACCGUGAGCUGACAUGCAGUGGGAGGGCAGAGACCCUGACCGCGUGCCUGUUGAAGAAUGAGCCGGCGACUUAUAGGGAGUGGCAUGGUUAAGGAGAUACUCCGGAGCCAGAGCAAAAACGAGUCUAAAGAGGGCAAUUCUCAGGUCAUUUCCUAUGGACCCGAACCCGGGUGAUCUUACCAUGGCCAGGAUGAAGCUUGGGUAACACCAAUUGGAGGUCCGAACCGACCGAUGUUGAAAAAUCGGCGGAUGAGCUGUGGUAAGCGGAGAAAUUCCAAUCGAACUCGGAGCUAGCUGGAUCUCCCCGAAAUGCGUUGAGGCGCAGCGGUGACGACGAGCUGACUUGGGGUAAAGCACUGUUUCGAUACGGGCUGCGAGAGCGGUACCAAGUCGUGGCAAACUCAGAAUACAGGUCAUGAAUUGAUGAUAUUACUUAGCUUUCCGUCAACCAGUGAGACGAUGGGGGAGAAGCUUCAUCGUCAAGAGGGCAACAGCCCAGACCACCAGCUAAGGCCCCGAAAUGGCCGCUAAGUGGAAAAGGAUGUGAGAAUGCGAAGACAACUAGGAGGUUUGCUUAGAAGCAGCAAGCCUUGAAAGAAAGCGUAAUAGCUCACUAGUUUUUGAGCGCUCUUGCGCCGACAAUGUCCGGGACUAAGCGGCCUGCCGAAGCUGUGGGAUUUCUCGCGAGAAGCUAGGAAUCGGUAGGGGAGCGUUCCGCUUAGGGUGAAGCGAACACGAAAGUGGACGUGGACAAAGUGGAAGUGAGAAUGUCGGCUUGAGUAACGAAAACAUUGGUGAGAAUCCAAUGCCCCGUAAACCUAAGGGUUCCACCGCAAGGUUCGUCCACGGUGGGUGAGUCAGGACCUAAGGCCAGGCCGAGAGGCGUCGUCGAUGGAAAACAGGUUAAUAUUCCUGUACUUCUUCUUGUGGGGACGGGGGACGAAGCAGGCUAAGCUGGAACCACCAUGGAUUGUGGUGCGAAUGUCAAGGUAAAGAUACUGAGAAUCCGAAAACUCAGACUCAAGGACCAAAUUCCAAAACCAUCUCACCCCGCCUGGUUCUCCUGAGUAGUGUGCAUAAGAGCUUUAGAGCUCGGUGCGCAGCUUUGAGCUGAGACGGUAGGGUACACUGUUUUGUCAAACUCUUUGCUUGAAAAAACUUUGUACUUCAGUGACGUCAUAUCUUCCAAGAAAAUCCCGAAACCCUCCAUUUGGAAAACACAAGAAGGACCUGUACCUGAAACCGACACAGGUAGGUGGGUAGAGAAUACCAAGGGGCGCGAGACAACUCUCUCUAAGGAACUCGGCAAACUGGCCCCGUAACUUCGGAAGAAGGGGUGCCCUCGACACAUUCGAAAGAUCGUGUGGAGGGUCGCAGUGACCAGGCUCAGGCGACUGUUUACCAAAAACACAGGUCUCCGCAAAGUCGUAAGACAAUAUAUGGGGGCUGACGCCUGCCCAGUGCUGGAAGGUAAAGGAAGUUGGUCAUUCCCUUGGGAAGAAGCUGACGACCGAAGC
rnacentral:tRNA from 1 species